AGUGAACGCUGGCGGUAGGCCUAACACAUGCAAGUCGAACGGCAGCACAGUAAGCGCUUGCUCUUACGGGUGGCGAGUGGCGGACGGGUGAGGAAUACAUCGGAAUCUACUUUUUCGUGGGGGAUAACGUAGGGAAACUUACGCUAAUACCGCAUACGACCUACGGGUGAAAGCAGGGGAUCUUCGGACCUUGCGCGAGUGAAUGAGCCGAUGUCGGAUUCGCUUGUUGGCGGGGGAAAGGCCCACCAAGGCGGCGAGCCGUAGCUGGUCUGAGAGGAUGGUCAGCCACACUGGAACUGAGACACGUCCCAGACUCCUGCGGUAGGCCGCAGUGGGGAAUAUUGGACGAUGGGCGCAAGCCUGAUCCAGCCAUACCGCGUGGGUGAAGAAGGCCUUCGGGUUGUAAAGCCAUUUUGUUGUGAAAGAAAAGCAGCAGGUUAAGCCCCCGCUGUGCUGACGGUACCCAAAGAAUAAGCACCGGCUAACUUCGUG
rnacentral:rRNA from 1 species